GGUUGGGUGGCACAGUGGGAUCACCAGGAAUGCCAGGAAUGUACAGGGAAAUGGUGCCCACAUCCAGGGAAAGCAGGUGGAGAUGUUGGGUGGCACAGGAGAUCACCAGGAAUUUCCAAGGAAAGCAGGUGGAGGGUUUGGGUGGCACACUGGGAUCACCAGGAAUGCCAGGAAUGUACAGGGAAAUGGUGCCCAUAUCCAGGGAAAGCAGGUGGAGAGGUUGGGUGGCACAGGGGAUCACCAGGAAUUUCCAAGGAAAGCAGGUGGAGGGGUUGGCUGGCACAUCAGGAUCACCAGGAAUGCCAGGAAUUUCCAAGGAAAGCAGGUAGAGCAGCUGGGUGGCACAGGGAAUCACCAGGAAUAUCAGGAAUUUAAAGAGAAUGCUCUGCUCACAUCCAGGGAAAGCAGGUGGAGAGGUUGGGUGGCACAGCAGGAUCACCAGGAAUUUCUAGGGAAAGCAGGUGAAGGGUUUGGGUGUCACAGAGAUAUCACCUGGAAUUUCCAGGGAAUGCUCUGCUCACAUCCAAAGAAAGCAGGUGGAGAGGUUGGGUGGCACAGAGGGAUCACCAGGAAUACCAGGGAUUUCCAGGGAAAACCCUGCUCACAUUGGUUGGGUGGCACAGGGAGAUCACCAGGAAUCCACAGAGGAUCCACAGGGGAUCACCAGGAAUUUCCAGGGAAAGCAGGUAGAGCAGUUGGGUGGCACAGGGAAUCACCAGGAAUAUCAGGAAUUUAAAGAGAAUGCUCUGCUCACAUNCCAUAGGGAUAACAGGGUGGGAUUGGGAUGGAGCUGUCACCCCCUGUCCCACAGAAUUCCAUAGGGAUAACAGGGUGGGAUUGGGAUGGAGCUGUUAUCCCCAUCCCAAACAAUUCCAUAGGGUGGGACUGGGAUGGAGAUGUCACCCUCCUGUCCCACACAAUUCCAUAGGGAUAACAGGAUUAGGAUGGAGCUGUUAUCCCCAUCCCAAACAAUUCCAUAGGGUGGGACUGGGAUGGAGCUGUCACCCCCUUGAGCCCCUCCCUGUCCCACACAAUUCCAUAGGGAUAACAGGAUUGGGAUGGAGCUGUCACCCAGUCCCCCAUCCCACACAAUUCCAUAGGGUGGCAUUGGGAUGGAGCUGUUAUCCCCAUCCCAAACAAUUCUAUAGGGUGGGAUUGGGAUGGAGCUGUCACCCCCCUGUCCCACACAAUUCCAUAGGGAUACCAAGAUUGGGAUGGAGCUGUUAUCCCCAUCCCAAACAAUUCCAUAGGGAUACCAGGACCGGGAUGGAGCUGUCACCCCCCUGCCCCACACAAUUCCAUAGGGAUGGAGCUGUCCCCCCUGGAGCCCCUCCCCAUCCCAAACAAUUCCAUAGGGAUACCAGGAUUGGGAUGGAGCUGUCACCCUCUGUCCCACACAAUUCCAUAGGGAUGGAGCUGUCCCCCCUGGAGCCCCUCCCCAUCCCAAACAAUUCCAUAGGGAUACCAGGACCGGGAUGGAGCUGUCACCCCCGUGUCCCCCACAAUUCCAUAGGGUGGCAUUGGGAUGGAGCUGUUAUCCCCAUCCCAAACAAUUCCAUAGGGUGGGACUGGAAUGGAGCUGUCACCUCCUGUCCCACACAAUUCCAUAGGGAUACCAAGAUUGGGAUGGAGCUGUUAUCCCCAUCCCAAACAAUUCCAUAGGGAUACCGGGAUCGGGAUGGAGCCGUUAUCCCCAUCCCAAACAAUUCCAUAGGGUGGGACUGGGAUGGAGCUGUCACCCCCUGUCCCAAGCAAUUCCAUAGGGAUAACAGGCUAGGAUUGGGAUGGAGCUGUCCCCCCUGGAGCCCCUCCCCGUCCCACACAAUUCCAUAGGGAUAACAAGACUGGGAUGGAGCUGUUAUCCCCAUCCCAAACAAUUCCAUAGGGAUGGAGCUGUGCCCCCCGGAGCCCCUCCCCAUCCCAAACAAUUCCAUAGGGUGGGAUUGGGAUGGAGCUGUCACCCCCCUGUCCCACACAAUUCCAUAGGGAUGGAGCCGUCCCCCCCGGAGCCCCUCCCUGUCCCCGCAGCUCCGCAGCAGGGCCGGGGCUGGAAUUGCCCAAUUCCCGCCUCAAUUCCCGCAAUCCUGCGCCGGUUCCCGCUCAGGUGGAGUCAUCCAGGCCCUUGUGGGGGUGCUCGGGGGGCGGCCGGCAGAGCCUGUCCAUGAUUCCCUGCAGCAUGGGCUGCACGAUCCCCAGCAGGGGCCGCUGCGAGGAGUCCCCGUCCCAGCACGCCUCCAUCAGCUGCCAGCACUCCUCGUCAAACACCGGGAGCCGCUCCGGCCGCACCCCUGCAAACACAGCGGGCUCACCGGGAAUGAACAGGGAAAACCCUGCCCACAGCCAGGGAAAGCACUUUGAGGGGUUGGGUGGCACAGUGAGAUCACCAGGAAUUUCCAGGGAAUGCCCUGACCAUAUCCAGGGAAAGCACAUUGAGGGGUUGGGUGGCACAGUGGGAUCACCAGGAAUGCCAGGAAUUUCCAGGGAAAACCCUGCUCACAUUGGUUGGGUGGCACAGGGAGAUCACCAGGAAUCCACAGAGGAUCCACAGGGGAUCACCAGGAAUUUCCA
rnacentral:lncRNA from 1 species